rnacentral:rRNA from 1 species
AUGGCAAUAUCGUUUACAAGUAUACAUGAAACAAACUAUUUUUCCUACACCUCUUUGUUCUAUGUAAUGGUGCUCUUGGUUGAGUGUGCUGACGAAAGAGAUUCCAUGCUACACGCUAGAUCUAUGCUGUCACGGCAACACAGGCCAAUACACAUUCAGGAAAUAUGUCACCAACUUCCCCAAGGUCCCGCAUCGUCUACUCAGGAUAUUCUGUGCCCCAAGCCCUACAGAAUAAUGCCCAAUUUCAGCAGUGGGCAUGACAUCCUCGAACUUCUCUCUUCAAUAUUGAAGAAGCGGCUUACUCAGAUCAAUAGGCAUGCACUUAGAAAAAUAGCUAAAGAGUACGAGAUAUUCCUAGAGUAA